AGUUCGAUUCUGGCUCAGGAUGAACGCUGGCGGCAUGCCUAAUACAUGCAAGUCGAACGGAGUGAAGCCUUCGGGUUUCAUUCAGUGGCGAACGGGUGAGUAAUACGCAGGGAACCUGGCCAUAGCAGGGGGAUACACUCUGGAAACGGAGCAUAAGACCCCAUAGGCAGUAAGGCGGCAUCGCCUUACUGUUAAAGAAAGCUGAAAGGCUUUGGCGAUGGAUGGACCUGCGGUGCAUUAGCUUGUUGGUGAGGCAACGGCUUACCAAGGCGAUGAUGCAUAGCCGGCCUGAGAGGGCGGACGGCCACACUGGGACUGAGACACGGCCCAGACUCCUGCGGGAGGCAGCAGUAGGGAAUUUUCGUCAAUGGGCGCAAGCCUGAACGAGCAAUGCCGCGUGAGUGAGGAAGGUCUUCGGACUGUAAAGCUCUGUUGCCGGGGAAAAAGGGGAAAUGCAGGAAAUGGCAUUUCAUGGAUGGUACCCGGCCAGAAAGCCACGGCUAACUACGUGCCAGCAGCCGCGGUAAUACGUAGGUGGCGAGCGUUAUCCGGAAUGAUUGGGCGUAAAGGGUGCGCAGGCGGUCUGUUAAGUCUGAAGGCAAAGGGAUGAGCUCAACUCAUUUAUGAUUCAGAAACUGGCAGACUUGAGGACAGGAGAGGGCGGUGGAACUCCAUGUGUAGCGGUAAAAUGCGCAGAGAUAUGGAAGAACACCAGUGGCGAAGGCGGCCGCCUGGCCUGUGACUGACGCUGAGGCACGAAAGCGUGGGGAGCAAAUAGGAUUAGAUACCCUAGUAGUCCACGCCGUAAACGAUGAGGAGCAGGUGUUGGGAGUGAAAUCUCAGUGCCGAAGCCAACGCAGUGACUCCUCCGCCUGGGGAGUAUGCACGCAAGUGUGAAACUCAAAGGAAUUGACGGGGGCCCGCACAAGCGGUGGAGUAUGUGGUUUAAUUCGAAGCAACGCGAAGAACCUUACCAGGUUUUGACAUCGGAUGCGAAGGCGCAGAGAUGCGCUGGAGGCUAUCAUCCAGACAGGUGGUGCAUGGUUGUCGUCAGCUCGUGCCGUGAGAUGUUCAGUUAAGUCUGGCAACGAGCGCAACCCCCGUGGUAUGUUACUAACGCAUUUGGGCGAGGACUCAUAUCAGACUGCCGGUGACAAACCGGAGGAAGGCGGGGAUGACGUCAAAUCAUCAUGCCCCUUAUGACCUGGGCUACACACGUACUACAAUGGCGUCUACAGAGGGAAGCGACCCUGAGAAGGGAAGCGAAACCGGAAAAGGGCGUCCCAGUUCGGAUUGAAGUCUGCAACCCGACUUCAUGAAGAUGGAAUCGCUAGUAAUCGCGGAUCAGCAUGCCGCGGUGAAUACGUUCCCGGGCCUUGUACACACCGCCCGUCAAACCAUGGAAGCCGGCAACGCCCGAAGCCGGUGGCAUAACCUUUUAGGAGUGAGCCGUCGAAGGCGGGGCCGAUGACUGGGGUUAAGUCGUAACAAGGUACCC
rnacentral:rRNA from 1 species